rnacentral:rRNA from 1 species
CAAUAGCGUAUAUUAAAGUUGUUGCAGUUAAAAAGCUCGUAGUUGGAUUUCUGGUUGAAGCGACCGGUCGGGCGUUGAUUCGUCUGCACUGGAGUCGGUUUUGGCCAUCCUCUAGGAAAGUGCGUCUGGUAUUAAGUUAUCGGGCGUAUGAUCCUGGCCUUUUACUGUGAAAAAAUUAGAGUGUUUAAAGCAGGCCUUCGCCUUGAAUACAUUAGCAUGGAAUAAUAAGAUAGGACUUUGGUCUAUUUUGUUGGUUUGCAGACCGAAGUAAUGAUUAAUAGGGAUAGUUGGGGGUAUUUAUAUUCCGAUGUCAGAGGUGAAAUUCUUAGAUUUUCGGAAGAUAAACUUAUGCGAAAGCAUUUACCAAGGAUGUUUUCAUUAA